GACGAACGCUGGCGGCGUGCUUAACACAUGCAAGUCGAGCGGUAAGGCCCUUUCGGGGGUACGACGAGCGGCGAACGGGUAGGAGUAACAACGUGGGUGGACCUCGCCCUCCAGCUCUGGGAGUAAGCCCGGGAAACUAGGGUCGUAAUACCGGAUAUGACUUCAUGACGCAUGUUGUGGAGUGGAAAGCCUUGUGCGGCUGAGGGUGGGCCCGCGGCCUAUCAGCUUGUUGGUGGGGUGAUGGCCUACCAAGG
rnacentral:rRNA from 1 species